rnacentral:sRNA from 1 species
AUAUCUCUCCGUACGGGAAGGAUGAGAAGCUUCGACCAGGGUUCGAUUCGAGCGCAGCGAGAAAGCGUUGCCGCAGGCAACGACCCGAAGGGCG